GGAAUUUCGCUGGGGUCGACCUCCUCCCCGACCCAAGCGAAUACGGUCCGCCCUUACCCUCCUCCCAAGGGCUGACCAUCAAAACGGCGCCCGCUGCACCUCCUCCCGCGGCGGGCGUUGUUU
rnacentral:sRNA from 1 species